rnacentral:rRNA from 1 species
UCGAUUAAGCCAUGCGAGUUAAAUGUUCUUCGUGAACAUAGCAGACUGCUCAGUAACACGUGGAUAACCUGCCCUUAGGACUGGCAUAACCCCGGGAAACUGGGGAUAGUUCCGGAUAGAUCAUAAAUGCUGGAAUGCUUUAUGAUUGAAAGGUUUCGACCGCCUUAGGAUGGAUCUGCGGCCUAUCAGGUUGUAGUGGGUGUAAUGUACCUACUAGCCUACGACGGGUACGGGUUGUGGAAGCAAGAGCCCGGAGAUGGAUUCUGAGACAUGAAUCCAGGCCCUACGGGGCGCAGCAGGCGCGAAAACUUUACAAUGCGGGAAACCGUGAUAAGGGAACACUGAGUGCUAGCAUUUAUGUUAGCUGUCCACAUGUGUAAAUAGCAUGUGAUAGCAAGGGCUGGGCAAGACCGGUGCCAGCCGCCGCGGUAACACCGGCAGCCCGAGUGGUGAUCACUAUUAUUGGGUCUAAAGGGUCCGUAGCCGGUUUAAUCAGUCUUCUGGGAAAUCUAAUCGCUUAACUAUUAGGCUUCCAGGGGAUACUGUUAGACUUGGGACCGGGAGAGGUAAGAGGUACUGCAGGGGUAGGAGUGAAAUCUUGUAAUCCCUGUGAGACCACCAGUGGCGAAGGCGUCUUACCAGAACGGGUCCGACGGUGAGGGACGAAAGCUGGGGGCACGAACCGGAUUAGAUACCCGGGUAGUCCCAGCUGUAAACGAUGCUCGUUAGGUGUCAGGAACGGUGCGACUGUUUCUGGUGCCGAAGGGAAGCCGUGAAACGAGCCACCUGGGAAGUA